rnacentral:tRNA from 1 species
UUCUUGACGGUCUAGGGGUGAGGGCUCUGCACUUCCACUGCAGGGGCACAGGUUCAAUCUGGUCAGGAAA